UGUAUAAUGGGUCAGCGACUUAUAUUCUGUAGCAAGGUUAACCGAAUAGGGGAGCCGAAGGGAAACCGAGUCUUAACUGGGCGUUAAGUUGCAGGGUAUAGACCCGAAACCCGGUGAUCUAGCCAUGGGCAGGUUGAAGGUUGGGUAACACUAACUGGAGGACCGAACCGACUAAUGUUGAAAAAUUAGCGGAUGACUUGUGGCUGGGGGUGAAAGGCCAAUCAAACCGGGAGAUAGCUGGUUCUCCCCGAAAGCUAUUUAGGUAGCGCCUCGUGAAUUCAUCUCCGGGGGUAGAGCACUGUUUCGGCAAGGGGGUCAUCCCGACUUACCAACCCGAUGCAAACUGCGAAUACCGGAGAAUGUUAUCACGGGAGACACACGGCGGGUGCUAACGUCCGUCGUGAAGAGGGAAACAACCCAGACCGCCAGCUAAGGUCCCAAAGUCAUGGUUAAGUGGGAAACGAUGUGGGAAGGCCCAGACAGCCAGGAUGUUGGCUUAGAAGCAGCCAUCAUUUAAAGAAAGCGUAAUAGCUCACUGGUCGAGUCGGCCUGCGCGGAAGAUGUAACGGGGCUAAACCAUGCACCGAAGCUGCGGCAGCGACGCUGAUGCGUUGUUGGGUAGGGGAGCGUUCUGUAAGCCUGCGAAGGUGUGCUGUGAGGCAUGCUGGAGGUAUCAGAAGUGCGAAUGCUGACAUAAGUAACGAUAAAGCGGGUGAAAAGCCCGCUCGCCGGAAGACCAAGGGUUCCUGUCCAACGUUAAUCGGGGCAGGGUGAGUCGACCCCUAAGGCGAGGCCGAAAGGCGUAGUCGAUGGGAAACAGGUUAAUAUUCCUGUACUUGGUGUUACUGCGAAGGGGGGACGGAGAAGGCUAUGUUGGCCGGGCGACGGUUGUCCCGGUUUAAGCGUGUAGGCUGGUUUUCCAGGCAAAUCCGGAAAAUCAAGGCUGAGGCGUGAUGACGAGGCACUACGGUGCUGAAGCAACAAAUGCCCUGCUUCCAGGAAAAGCCUCUAAGCAUCAGGUAACAUCAAAUCGUACCCCAAACCGACACAGGUGGUCAGGUAGAGAAUACCAAGGCGCUUGAGAGAACUCGGGUGAAGGAACUAGGCAAAAUGGUGCCGUAACUUCGGGAGAAGG
rnacentral:rRNA from 1 species